rnacentral:lncRNA from 1 species
AAAAAUAUGGUGAUGACUAAGAAGAGGGUUUUGCACAGACUCCACGUACAACUUUCAAUUUGAAGUUGAAUACGGCUGAACAUGGAGUAAAUGAUGAGCAUGCAUAUCUAGACAGAUACAAUAAAUUUAUGCAUUAUCUACAAUAAGAUAAAAUAAACAGAGCUUGUUCCAUGUUGGACCUUUCCAUUCGUCAAUAUCAUACAGGACAUAGUUGUAAAUGUGUUCUUGUGAAUGACUCUUGAGAAGAAAAUCGCCAAUGCAGCUUUCAGAUUCAAAGAAAUGUAAGACCCUUCAAGAUUUCUUAACAUAGUUCUUCAUCCUAAGCGACAUCAAGAAACGUAGCCUUUUCUCGGCUCCCUAUGAAGAUAGUACUAGCAACAAUAAAAG